AUUGAACGCUGGCGGCAGGCCUAACACAUGCAAGUCGAACGAGUGGCGGACGGGUGAGUAAUGUCUGGGAAACUGCCUGAUGGAGGGGGAUAACUACUGGAAACGGUAGCUAAUACCGCAUACCAUCAGAUGUGCCCAGAUGGGAUUAGCUAGUUGGUGGGGUAACGGCUCACCAAGGCGACGAUCCCUAGCUGGUCUGAGCGGAUGACCAGCAACACGGGAACUGAGACACGGCACAGACUCGGACGGGAGGCAGCAGUGGGGAAUAUGGCACAAUGGGCGAAAGGCUGAUGCAGCCAUGCCGCGUGUAUGAAGAAGGCCUUCGGGUUGUAAAGUACUGUCAGCGGGGAGGCGUUACCCGCAGAAGAAGCACCGGCUAACUCCGUGCCAGCAGCCGCGGUAAUUC
rnacentral:rRNA from 1 species